UUCCUCGGGUGAAGGGCAUCCUUAGGCGCUAUCAGGGGGAAGGAUGCGGCCAUUCCCCAACAGUGAUCAACUGGCCGGAAUAAAACUAAAACCGACUGCGGCUAAUUAAUACAAUGCGACAUACCACGCCGAUCGACACAUCCCGUUGAGCUCGCAAUCGCCGCUUGCUUGCGUUUCUUGGCCGUCGUCUUACCGUCUCUCCAGAUGUACGCCGCGCCGGUAACCAUUUCCUAAUCACGACUGCGGAUGCAUGGGCAUUUGAUUUCGUGCGCGGAAUUCGUAGUUUCCACGGCCACCAUUCACCGAUGGCUCCCGGCCGCAUCCCGUGGCCAUUGUUUAUGUUGCGCUAAUCAAGCCUAUUACUGUUGUUAUAAUGUGCUUCUGACAGCGGAGCCUUUGGAUCUUGUCCAAAUAACUUAGUUUAAUUUCUCUUCAUGGAUCGGAGUUCAUAUAUACUACUCCUGACAUGUUUCAUCUCACGGGUUUUAGGGGUGACAUGUCAGUUUUAUAGCACUAUAUACUCUGAAAGCACAUAUCACGUACUGCGCCA